rnacentral:lncRNA from 1 species
AGCUGAUGCCAUGUGGAACAGAGAUGAACUGCCGCUGCCGAGCUCUGCCCACGUUGCAGAAUCAUGAGCAAAUAUGUUGUGGAUUGGCUGUAACUCUGCUCUGGGAUCCAGGCUGAAGGAGCAGGCUCUAUCUGGAACAUUACUAGUCUCCAGGCAGAAGAAAAAGAGACAAUGGAAUGGAUGAUUGAAUGGAUGAAUGAACUCCACAGGAAGAUGAGGAAAGCCUUUAUGGAUGGAGUGAGCUUGCAGCAGAGUCUCAAAGGGCCUACCUGGAAUGCCAUGCUCCCUCACCGCCAAUGCUGCCCUACCAAAUUCAGCCCAUAGACCUUCAAAAACCAAUUCAAAUCUCCAAGAAUCCAAGUCAGAAGAAAUUGCUGCCUCCUCUGAAUAAUUAUUGCUGACACUGAUUGCACUCUGUGCUUAUUGCUCAGUCCUUUGAGUUAUCUCGUCAAUAUUUCCCAUUUGUCCUAUAUCCAUCCCCACCUAGGAAUGAAUGGGACUUCAUGAUUCUGUCUUUCUAGUAUUAGAUGUCUUGCUCAGUAAAAAAUGUUUACUGUCUUGUAAAUUAAUUUAAAUAUAUGGUAAAAUAAUA